GCUUGUCUCAAAGAUUAAGCCAUGCAUGUCUAAGUACAAGCCUCAGUAAGGUGAAACCGCGAAUGGCUCAUUAAAUCACACCUAAUCUACUGGAAAGUUACUAGUUACUUGGAUAACUGAGGUAAUUCUUGAGCUAAUACAUGCACUCGAGCCUCGACCGAGGCCCCGGCAACGGGGUCGCGGAAGAGGUGCUUUUAUUAGAUCAAAACCAGUCGGGGAAACGAUCGCGCCGGGUCAAACCGGUCGGUCGCGGAACCGUACCAAUUUUGGUGACUCUGGAUAACUUCACGCCGAUCGCACGGCCUUCGCGCCGGCGACGUAUCUUUCAAAUGUCUGCCUUAUCAACUGUCGAUGGUAGGUUACGCGCCUACCAUGGUUGCAACGGGUAACGGGGAAUCGGGGUUCGAUUCCGGAGAGGGAGCCUGAGAAACGGCUACCACAUCCAAGGAAGGCAGCAGG
rnacentral:rRNA from 1 species